rnacentral:rRNA from 1 species
UGAGGAAUAUUGGUCAAUGGGCGAAAGCCUGAACCAGCCAAUCCGCGUGCAGGAUGACGGCCCUAUGGGUUGUAAACUGCUUUUGUACGGGAAGAACUACCUGACGUGUCAGGGGCUGACUGUACCGUACGAAUAAGCAUCGGCUAACUCCGUGCCAGCAGCCGCGGUAAUACGGAGGAUGCGAGCGUUAUCCGGAUUUAUUAGGUUUAAAGGGUGCGUAGGCUGAAUAGUCAGUCAGUGGUGAAAUCCUACAGCUUAACUGUAGAACUGCCAUUGAUACUGCUAUUCUUGAGUUCAGUUGAGGUAGGCGGAAUGUGUAGUGUAGCGGUGAAAUGCUUAGAUAUUACACAGAACACCGAUUGCGAAGGCAGCUUACUAAACUGACACUGACGCUGAGGCACGAAAGCGUGGGUAGCGAACA